rnacentral:misc_RNA from 1 species
GAUGAAGAACGUAGCGAAAUGCGAUAAGUAAUGUGAAUUGCAGAAUUCAGUGAAUCAUCGAAUCUUUGAACGCACAUUGCGCCCGCCAGUAUUCUGGCGGGCAUGCCUGUUCGAGCGUCAUUUCAACCCUCAAGCCCAGCUUGGUGUUGGGGAUCGGCACAGGCGCCCUCGGGCGCCAGCCGUCCCCUAAAUCUAGUGGCGGUCCCGCUGCAGCCUCCUCUGCGUAGUAGUUUUCUCCUCGCAAGGGCAGCUCGGUGGCGACCUCGCCGUAAAACCCCCAACUUCUGAAAGGUUGACCUCGAAUCAGGUAGGAAUACCCGCUGAACUUAAGCAUAUCAAUAAGCGGAGGA